GGCUCAGGACGAACGCUGGCGGCGUGCCUAAUACAUGCAAGUCGAGCGAACAGAGAAGGAGCUUGCUCCUUUGACGUUAGCGGCGGACGGGUGAGUAACACGUGGGCAACCUACCUUAUAGUUUGGGAUAACUCCGGGAAACCGGGGCUAAUACCGAAUAAUCUAUUUUACUUCAUGGUGAAAUACUGAAAGACGGUUUCGGCUGUCGCUAUAAGAUGGGCCCGCGGCGCAUUAGCUAGUUGGUGAGGUAACGGCUCACCAAGGCGACGAUGCGUAGCCGACCUGAGAGGGUGAUCGGCCACACUGGGACUGAGACACGGCCCAGACUCCUACGGGAGGCAGCAGUAGGGAAUCUUCCACAAUGGGCGAAAGCCUGAUGGAGCAACGCCGCGUGAGUGAAGAAGGUUUUCGGAUCGUAAAACUCUGUUGUAAGGGAAGAACAAGUACAGUAGUAACUGGCUGUACCUGAC
rnacentral:rRNA from 1 species